rnacentral:rRNA from 1 species
CCUACGGGAGGCAGCAGUGGGGAAUAUUGGGCAAUGGAGGAAACUCUGACCCAGCGACGCCGCGUGAGGGAUGAAGGCCUUCGGGUUGUAAACCUCUUUCAGUAGGGAGGAAGCGAAAGUGACGGUACCUACAGAAGAAGCACCGGCUAACUAUGUGCCAGCAGCCGCGGUGAUACAUAGGGUGCAAGCGUUGUCCGGAAUUAUUGGGCGUAAAGAGCUCGUAGGUGGUUCGAUACGUCGGAUGUGAAAAUCAGGGGCUCAACCCCUGACCUGCAUCCGAUACGGUCGAGCUAGAGUUUGGUAGGGGAGACUGGAAUUCCUGGUGUAGCGGUGGAAUGCGCAGAUAUCAGGAGGAACACCGAUGGCGAAGGCAGGUCUCUGGGCCAAUACUGACACUGAGGAGCGAAAGCGUGGGGAGCGAACAGGAUUAGAUACCCUGGUAGUCCACGCCGUAAACGGUGGGCGCUAGUUGUGCGAACCUUCCACGGUUUGUGCGACGCAGCUAACGCAUUAAGCGCCCCGCCUGGGGAGUACGAUCGCAGAUUAAACUCAAANGAAUUGACGGCUGGAGACGNGCGACGACGACGACGAGGGAGAG